CCAGGUGCUGGAAUUAAAGGCAUGGGUCACCAUUACCCAACUGGAUUAAACAUUCUUGAUUAACCUUAAGUAAAAGCAAUAACGUGUAACCAUGAGGAAAUGUUUCACAAGACAGAGAUUCAGGCUUCAGACCCACUUUUCCAUGCGACUGAAGACAGCAGCAGUUUUACUUCUCGGUGCCGUUUGAAAGAAGCCUAGACAAGAGCGGCAUCUUGCAGAAGGAAGGUGUCUCAGUGGGAAAGUGCUUCCUUAAUAGGCAUCCCAGUCCUGUUUUCCAUCCUCAGCACUAUGAGACAAGCAACCAAACACAAAACAAGGACACCUACUCCAAAGGUAGACAGGAAAUUCGCCCCAACAGAAAGGUGUGUGGUUCAACAAUGUCCACAGCAGCUCCGAGCCUACAGGGGAGUAGUGGUUGUCAAUUUGUGCUUUGGCUUGACUUCCUUCCAGCAGAGGUCACUGUGGAUGCUGGCAGUGGACACUUUAGGGAAAAGGAUCAGCACGUUUCCGUGGAAGCUACCCGUGCCGCGCCCGAAGCCCCCCUUCCUCAGCCGCGCCCCUCGCGCAGUCCAGCC
rnacentral:lncRNA from 1 species